UGAGGUUAACACUUUAGAGUUCACUUCACGCCAAACCACCACGUGAGGGUGAACUCAGCCAAUGCCAAGGAACGACUAUGUUUUCAAAAUAAAAACAUGAUUUAUGCGUACAUAACUUUUUAAUAGCCUUGGCGUACUCGGUUGGGAUAGCCCUCGGCCAAGGUACCCCUGACAACUGAGUAUGAGAACGAUUUUGGCACGAGCCAAAGUUUUAAGAAAUUCAUAAGCCAUGUUGAUUACUCGAUUUAUAUGAAUUGAUUUUAUUUGGUUGAAAUGAGUUGAAAGGUGAUGAAUUACAGUAUGUUAAACUAUUUUAUUUGUCUUCAUUUACUCAGCUUUAGAUAUUUUAGAUGGUAUUUGUUUACUCACUGGGAUUUUAUAAUCUAAUCACCUUCCUUUCCACCCAUUUCAGGCUCAGGAUAGUCGGUAGAUAGCUCACUUUGUUGAGGGCUACAGUUGAACUUGCAUCCUCAAAAACUGUAGGUUUAC
rnacentral:lncRNA from 1 species